CACCCUUUGGCAGCAGGAAUGUUCCUUUUUCUUACUGCAUGUUCUCGAAUACUUUCAGAAGGUGUGUUCCUCUCAGAAUAGUGUGCUAGCAGGGCUGUAGCAAAACAAACAGAAAUGUUCUGAACUGAUGUUCUCAACGAGUCCUGGUGGUCACAAAUGUCUUAUCAACGCCAGAAUGCUCCGGCAGUUCUUGGAUUACCAAAGUGCUAUGCACCAUAAUAAAAACAAUUAAACAGCAGAUUAGCCGAGUCAAACAAGCGUGAAAGAAAAUGAAAGAUAUUUUAGCUGGAUCUCACUGCGGCCAUAGCUUCCUGUUUUAUACGCAACAGAAAGUCCGCAGCAGAGAAGGCAGAUUAGAUGAGUUUUCAGGAGGCAGAGUAACCUUUGGCCAGGCUCAGACAGGCCGCUCACGAGGGUUUCAGCGGCUUGGUUAACGAACUUUUCUGUGACGCCUCCCUGACUUCCUGCUCCUGACCACGGCGGGCUCGGUGAGCACAGCAGCAGGAAGCUCUGACCUCCUGAAGGCAGCUCGCUGCUGCCAGUCACGGCCCUGCUGUAGGAGUUACAAGGGAGUUGACGUGUGGCAUGAGGAGUGCAUGAAGGGGACGGCAGCCCCGAGUAGUGCGUUCACUUUCUGCUUUUCCAGGACUUGAAUAUCAUGAAAAUAGCACAGCUUUGAAUUUUGUUGGGAAAAACCACAAAGGAUACUCACUACAGAAUGUGAAAACAAAGAAAAUAGCCUUGACCAUGUGUGAGCAUAAUCCUCAUCCAGAGACCAUGCUGAUAAACAAUGUGAAACGAAGUAUUAUUAAGAAUUCAACAAGUUAGAUAGGAAAAAAAUAGAAGCCAAAGAAACUGCUUUUUCCCUCUGCACAAUAUUUAAACAUUUUAAGUGGUACCUUCUCAGUUAGAAAUCAUGAAUGAAAACAGCAAAAUCAAAGUUCUGGGAUAAUUGGUCAGAGAAAGAGCUGAACUUCGUUGCAAGGAGCUGGGAUAAACACACCUGCAUUUCUAAAUACCCCGGGAGCCUUUGUAAAGAUUUAUAAGAUAUGAAACAUAUGAACUUAAGUAAAUCAGUCAUUGAAUUUCAUUGCCUGUCUUAUGUUAAAAUGCUGCUCUUCAUGAAGAUUAACCAAGAUAAUCUUCCCUUCAUUGGCAAUGCCACCUUUUCGCCUGUACAGAAUCAUUCAUGUAAAAUGGCUGGUAUUAGUACAAUGCAUUUUUCUUGAGACUUCAAAUAAACCUAAAAUAUAUGAAGUACCUUAACAUAAUUAAAACAAAUGAAAAUACAGGGAAUUUUCUGUUAGAACUGUUAGAAGUCAGUGAGCUCCAUUGCUGCAAACUGGCAGAUCCUUUGGGUAUACGCAGGGCUUCAGCUCUUCACUGCCCCUUGUCCUGAAUUCCUUCAAGUUGCACAUAUGUGGACCAGCAGCUAUUUUUCUCUAUGGAGGAGAAAGAUGAUCAAGUGAUUAGAAAGAGGGACAGGAAUUUUGGAGGAUCCAUAUUUAACUGUUGGACAUUUCCAACAUUUUGCAGAGAAGGUCUAUGGGGUCUUUUUCAAGCAGACGAAAGAUCGUCCUGUUUGCAUUCCAAGCUGGAUGGCAAGGGGCCAGCUCUGAAGUGAAAGGUGGCAUGGAUUUGUACAAUGGCAGUGGCAGAGAGCCUUGAUCUUGAACCUUCCGUCUUUUUUUGUAAUGCAGCUAUAAAUAACAUUAAUUCAGAAACAAUUAAAUCAGCAAUCUUAUUCUUCAUAGAAACAGACGUUUGUGUUCUGUUUCUUGAUUGGGAAGAAUUUCAGAAUGUAGGGAAAAAAAAUGGGAUUUUUUUUAAGUGCAGCAAGAACUUGACAUCCUCUUUCCCCAAAAAGUGGCCUUACUAAGUACUGAAAUGAUGACACAAAGAAGUCCAGAAGCAUGCAUUUAGACCUCAGCUUCUUCUGUCAGGCCAUAUGCAUACAGAAAUAUAACAGUUGUUUGAAGGAGAAAAAUCCCUUCUUCAGCCUGUGUCUGUUACUUCAUCAUCAUAUCUGAAGAUGUGUAGUUCUUGCAUUAACAAUCUUUUCUUGAGGACUGUCUAGUUUUCUGCUUCUGCUAUACAGUCAAAACCCUUGACAGCUAAACAAAUUCCUUCAAUUUCAUUGUAAUAGUCUCAAGACAUUCUUUAUUAUGUAUUUCUUCUAUCUUACAAGCCUUUUUCUCUAACUUCCUCUAACUGCCACUUCUGUCUUUUCUUCAGUUGUUUUUCUGAUUUAAAUGGCUAGCAGUUCUUGUCUUUAUCCUACCGUGGCUUUCUAUUUGCCAGUUCCUUGGUGUUAUCUUUCUCUCCAACUUUGACUCCAUUCUUUUUCUAUUUCCCCAUCCCUCAGCCACAUAAUGCUAUGAAGUGUGAUUACAGUAAUCCUGAAAUUUGUUAUAAAUGAAUGUUAACAGUUUUUACUGCUAUGUCCUUUUGAUCCUUUCUGCUGUUUUCCCUUUUCAUUAAUCAUUUUAAUCCAUUCAUUCUUCCUUCCAUCUUUGGGCAGUUACCAAGACUGAUCAUACUGUUUGGUUGUAGUUUUUUUAUCUUACAUAGUGGGACAAAAAGCAAUUUUUACAGUGAGUUGAAGGGAAAAGUGUAGGUCUUCCUUUGGUCACCUAGCAGGAAGUCGGAGCUGGUUGGGGGAAUGAAGAAUGGAAAUGUUUUUUAACACAUGAAAAUGACUUAGAGGAUUGCAAGCUGGAAAAACUUUGCUUUCCCAGCCUGCCAAUAUUUUUUACUUGCAGGCAAAAAGUGAGAGAACUAGAAAUUCUUCAGGUACUGGUUAGUCUUACCAUUGUCCCACUUCAGGUUCCUCCUCUUGGUGCCUCUUCUUCCAGGAGUACUUUGCCAUAGCAAAGAACAGAAGUGGGGAAUUUCCCUUCUGUUUUUAUGGCAGAAGGAAAAGUGGUGACUUCCCCUUAUUUCAGCUGCUGUUUACUCAGAAAACAAAGUUGCCAUAUACUAAUAGUGACAUUUUGUACAUAGACAUUGAUCUGAAAAAUCCAGAGAGCACAGUAAAAGUUACAACUGAUAGUCAGGACUCUGACUUUCGUGGAUACUUUAUGCAGAACAUAAAUGCUUGAGAGAUUAAGAAGAGUAUUUUCUACUUACCGUGUUUCUAUCAGUAUUUGUGGUAAUAGUACAAUAGAUGCUUAGUUGAGAUGUCUGACCAGAUGUUUCAACCAUGAAGCUAUUUCCAGUAAAGACGUUUUGAAUAUGCAUAUGAAAGCAUCUAUAAAUACUGUGACUUAUUAGCAACUUUUAUAGCCAAAAAUAAAGCAAACUAGUAUGACUGUUAACUUAUGCUUCAGAAGUUGAAAGAUUAGGUAACAUUAAAGGCUGGAAUUAAUUUCUGUUGAGGCUUGUGCUGGUUAAUUCAGCACAGCCAAGCUUGCCAUCUCUGUGGGACAAAGUCUGGUGAUCAUUUUAUGCAUGUGAGCAAUCCAAAAGUAAUUAAUAGGAUUAAGGAACUGCAUGACAAGUUUUAAUAAGGAACACAGUCUCACUGACCCUGGUGAUGCAAUCAGCCUACCAGCCUCAAACAACAAGAAAAACUACAUGUUCCACCAUGUGUUAGUAACAUUUUAAAAAACUGUUUCAAAUGAUUUGUCCACUGUAGUUUUCUCAGAUGAUUGAAAUAAAAUCCAUUUCUGUUUGAGGGUAUGAUGAGUUUAAUGAACUCCUGUUCUGCCUUUUUUAGCAGGCAUAUGCUAAGUCCUGCAUGACUUUUUAUAAUUCAGAAACAUGUCUAGGUUGAAUUGGUUAAUGAGGAUUUUGACUGACAUUCAUUGCUAGAACUUCAUUCCUCUUUUAUACAUAUAUUUUCCCUUUUCUGUGGUAUUGUGUGUCUUAAAUUUUAUAACUAGUUACACUGUCACCAGCCCACAGUUAAGUGCUUAGUAGCAGCAGUGUGUAUGAGUUAACUUUGGUCCUCAAAGUAAAGUCAUAAUGCACUGCAGCAUGGGUAGACCCACCGUUUAGCCUCAUGGACAUGAUAAAGUGGGCAAAACUAUAGAAGGAGCUCAGGUGACAAAAAUCAAUUUAUUUUAUUUACCUACUCUCCUAUAAUGGAAGAGAUGUGAUUUCCCUCAAAGCCGUGAAAAAGUUUAAUAUGCAACUGUGAAGAGAAUUUGCAAAGCAUAUCAUCCUGAAAUCACAAAUUACAAGCUUUAUCUUUUUCUAUGUGAGAAUUUAAUGAAAGAUGUUGUCAGUACUGAUGCUUUGGUUAGUUUGCAAGAGUAGUUUAGGUUUUAACAAGGUAUGAAAUCCAUUGAAGUCAGCUUAAUUUGCAAGCUCCCACAGUAAUCGUUUCUUCUAAUUACAAGAAUAGAUGACUUAUGAAAUGCCUUAUGUUCCAGAAGUCAAAUGUUUCUGCAUAUGUCCAAUAGUUACCAACAGAUGUAAGGAGAGACAAAAUGAAACCCAAUCCUUCCCAGAAUUCUGGCUCUCAGCCCAUUUUGUAACUCUGUAACUUCUCCUUAGAGGGCAGAGUACAGCCGGAGGAGGUGGCAAACUGUGGUUGCAUGCUGCUUGUAAUGAUGCAAAAGAAGCAUCCCAAGAGCAAGUUUGUUGUUGUGGUCUCUCUGGUAAAACAUAUGUGCCUUCGUUUAAGUGCUCAUGAUGCAAAUCUUACUCACUGUGUCUGUCUGUUUUCAUAGAAGAAAAUAGAAUUUUUGCUCCAUGGAAGCUUUACCCAAAAUAACCUCAGAUAUUAUUGUUAUGAAAUAAGUUUCUCCAAGCUAGAAACAAAGAGAAAACUGUUUGUCUGUUAGUGCUUUGAAGAGUGGCAAAGAGGUGCAAUGAACUCUCAUUUCCACUAGAAAUAACUUCUCAACACAGUACCUCGAAAAUAGUGCCUAAGUCGAGGCUUAAUAUUUAGCUUGCAAACUAAGGCCUUAGGGGAACUGGAUUUCCAGAAAGACCUUUAUGUCUGCUCUUUAACUUUCCAUUAAAGCGUCUAGUUCAAUAUUUUAAAAGGCAGGGAACAUUGUUAUUCAGUUUUGAAAAAUCUUGACCUUUUUUAAACGUAUGAACAACGACUCUCGUUUUCAAAACAGUGUGACUUAAGGCUACAUUGCAGGCAGCUAACCCCACAGCAUGAUAGUCUUAAUAACAGGCAGUUCAGAGAAUAACAUUUGAAUGAUCUUGAUUUGGAAAAGCAUCCCUUCUGGAUUCAGUAGUCUGUAGGGGAACUGUUAAGCUCUUGUUAAUCCUCAGCUGUCAAAUUAAGUAGGCUGUUAGCCAAACUAAUUGGCAUGAUAGGUAGGACAGAGGGUAAACAUUCCUUAGGCUGCGAUUAAUAGGCUGAAAUGGUUGAUCUGCUGAUUAAAAAAAAAUAAUAAAAAAUAUACAUAUAUAAAAAUCACCAUACUUACUGCAAGUGUAGUGAACUCUCCAAAAUGAUAAAUAUAAUUAAUUUCAAGGACACAGUACUAACAAAUGCUUUCCAGUCAAUAAGUCAGUUGAUUUAGCUUAUGUUUGCCUACCUGCACUUUUGCUAUCUUAGAAACCCAUUAGUUCAUAUUCCCUCACAUGUCCAAGUCUCCUCUUAUGUGCGUACAGCACACCUGCACUUUACAGAUGUAUACAGUAAUGCAUUAUUUAUACCUAAACUUUGCUUUGGAUUAAUUAUGAAUUAGAUUCUGACUUUAAUAGGACUACUUAAACAUGUAUACUUAAUUAUAGGCAAGAAUAAUAAACGAGUAUAUGCAAGAUCAUGACCUGAACAGUGAAGUCAGGCAAUUUAAGAAAUUAUCACUGGAAUUGCAGAGAUACUUACAAUAAUGAAAAAACAAAUUCCAAGCAGAGAUGUCAGAAAAGCAACGUUCAGACAAGUUAAUUGCUAAUUAAAACUUCUCGUGUUUGGAAUAAAAAAAAAAUAUUUAGGAUAUUAGUAAAAACAUCCUAAUAGUAUUUGGUUUAUUUAAAUACUACUGGUUGUGUAAUUGCUGGCUUGGGACUUAAACAUGGUCUGUUUCUUGGCAGGUUUCUGCUGCCAUGCUAUUUGAGUUAGAAAAGUUCAAUGGGUAAUAUUAGCUUAGCUGUGGAACUCUGAUAUUUAAUAGGAUUUUAUGGAAAUAGCUAAUAUGUGCACAUGGCAGCAACUCCUCACAGUUCAAUAUUGUCACAAAAGUGUCUUUUGAUUCCAUUACAAUCCUUAUUUCAUUUAACAAGUAAACAAAUAAGGCUGCUGAGGCCAACACUGUAUAAUAGCAAGAAAGUUUCUUCACUCUCUGACAUUCAAAAGUUAUGGCAAAGAAAGUACAUGGUUUACAUUUGUAUUACAUGUAUUAUUAUGCUUUGGAACCUUGAGCUCGCAAGGAUAAGCAAGGUAUCAAUAAGCAAAGGCCAAUUUUGUGGCCACUUCUGAGACUUUGGUUUAUCAGAAAUUGUUCAUUUUCUGUAUGGCAGUAGUUCAAAACACAUUUGAAUAACCACAUUCAUAGAAUCACAGAAUGACCCAAGUUGGAAGGGACGCAUAAGGAUCAUGGAGUACCAUAUGGAGUACAUAGUACCACCCAAAAAUCAGACCAUAUGUCUGAGAGCAUUGUCCAGAAGCUUCUUGAACUCCAUCAGCUCGGUGCCAUGACCACUGCCCUGGGCAGCCAGUUCCAUGCCCACUGCUCUCUGGUGAACAACCUUUUCCCAACACCCAACCUGCCCCUCCCCUGACACAGCCCCACGCUGUUCCCUCAGGCCCUGUCGCUGUCAGAAUGCAGGGCUCAGCGCUGC